UGCUUCCUUCCUGAGAAUGUUGCUAUUUUUGGAUACUCAAGAAAGAAUAUGACUGACGAAGACCUACAAUCCAUCAUAGCUUCAACACUAACAUGUCGAGUUGAUCAUCAAGAGAACUGUGGGGACAAAAUGGAUGCUUUCCUUAGUAGAACAUACUACAUCAAUGGAGGUUAUGACAAUAAACAUGGGAUGUCCAAGUUGAACUAUCAUAUGACGCAGAUUGAGGGGGGGAAAAAUCAAACAGGAUCUUUUACCUCUCUGUUCCA